AGUUAAUAAGCUAAUAAAGCAUAUAUUUUGAAAAUAUAAUAUAGAAAUUUAAAAUUUUCUAUUAACUU
rnacentral:tRNA from 1 species